UAGAUUAGCCAUGCAUGUCUAAGUAUAAGCAAUUAUACAGCGAAACUGCGAAUGGCUCAUUAAAUCAGUUAUCGUUUAUUUGAUAGUACCUUACUACAUGGAUAACCGUGGUAAUUCUAGAGCUAAUACAUGCUGAAAACCCCGACUUCGGAAGGGGUGUAUUUAUUAGAUUAAAAACCAAUGCCCUCCGGGGCUUACUGGUGAUUCAUGAUAACUUCUCGAAUCGCACGGCCUUGCGCCGGCGAUGGUUCAUUCAAAUUUCUGCCCUAUCAACUUUCGACGGCUGGGUCUUGGCCAGCCGUGGUGACAACGGGUAACGGAGGGUUAGGGCUCGACCCCGGAGAAAACGCCUGAGAAACGGCGUUUACAUCCAAGGAAGGCAGCAGGCGCGCAAAUUACCCAAUGCCGACACGGCGAGGUAGUGACGAGAAAUACUGAUACAGGGCUCUUUUGGGUCUUGUAAUUGGAAUGAGUACAAUUUAAAUCCCUUAACGAGGAACAAUUGGAGGGCAAGUCUGGUGCCAGCAGCCGCGGUAAUUCCAGCUCCAAUAGCGUAUAUUAAAGUUGUUGCAGUUAAAAAGCUCGUAGUUGAACCUUGGGCCUGGCUGGCCGGUCCGCCUCACCGCGUGCACUGGUCCGGCCGGGCCUUUCCCUCUGGGGAACCCCAUGCCCUUCACUGGGCGUGGCGGGGAACCAGGACUUUUACUUUGAAAAAAUUAGAGUGUUCAAAGCAGGCCUAUGCUCGAAUACAUUAGCAUGGAAUAAUAGAAUAGGACGUGCGGUUCUAUUUUGUUGGUUUCUAGGACCGCCGUAAUGAUUAAUAGGGACA
rnacentral:rRNA from 1 species